GUCACCCUGGAAAAACCAACGCUUAGUAGACUGUGUUCUAGGAAACUGAGGGGAAACCAGCUCUGUCUGGUAUAAUAACACAAUGGUCAGAUUUGCGCAAAGUUUCCUAGCACGAUAUACUUCUCAUUUAGUCUUCAAGACGAUCAACCAUGCGUGCAUGGCAAUCUCAUGGCAAAACCAAGGCACAGGAAGAGUCUCUCAUGACUUCACAACAGCAGGGAUUUGAAUUCGUACCUGUGACCUGUGUUUCCAUGUCUCUCUAGAACUGACUGUCAAAGGGAGACACACCAGGAUAUUGGUCGUGUUUGCUAUGAAAGAACACUAUAGCUUGCUUCAGUGACUUCAACGUGCAGGGAAGGAUAAGGCAAAUCAGAUGCAGUGUGGCAGACGCUAAGGAGCUAUUUGAUGUAGACACAAACUCAACGGGUGCCUUCUGAAGGCUCGACCAGAGAUUGCCAGUGAUGGUAGGUAGCUCCUAGCGAACAGCGCCACCCGGUCCCAG
rnacentral:lncRNA from 1 species